rnacentral:rRNA from 1 species
GACGAACGCUGGCGGCGUGCUUAACACAUGCAAGUCGAGCGGUAAGGCCCUUUCGGGGGUACACGAGCGGCGAACGGGUGAGUAACACGUGGGUGACCUGCCUUUAGCUCUGGGAUAAGCCUGGGAAACUGGGUCUAAUACCGGGAUACGACUCCGCGGUGCAUGCUGUGGGGUGGAAAGCCUUGUGCGGCUGGAGAUGGGCCCGCGGCCUAUCAGCUUGUUGGUGGGGUGAUGGCCUACCAAGGCGACGACGGGUAGCCGGCCUGAGAGGGCGACCGGGCCACACUGGGACUGAGACACGGCCCAGACUCCUACGGGAGGCAGCAGUGGGGAAUCUUGCGCAAUAGGGCGAAAGCCUGACGCAGCGACGCCGCGUGAGGGAUGACGGCCUGG